rnacentral:rRNA from 1 species
UCUGGUGCACCAGUUGUCACGCCAGUGGCACAGCUGGGUAGCUAUGUGCGGACGGGAUAAGCGCUGAAAGCAUCUAAGCGUGAAGCCCCCUUCAAGAUGAGACUUCCCAUAGCGCAAGCUAGUAAGACCCCUUAUAGACGAUGAGGUUGAUAGGUUCGGUGUGGAAGUGCAGUAAUGCAUGGAGCUGACGAAUACUAAUCGGUCGAGGACUUAUCCACA